rnacentral:rRNA from 1 species
AGGUAAAUCCGGUUCACUUUAACACUGAGGCGUGACGACGAGGCACUACGGUGCUGAAGCAACAAAUGCCCUGCUUCCAGGAAAAGCCUCUAAGCAUCAGGUAACAUCAAAUCGUACCCCAAACCGACACAGGUGGUCAGGUAGAGAAUACCAAGGCGCUUGAGAGAACUCGGGUGAAGGAACUAGGCAAAAUGGUGCCGUAACUUCGGGAGAAGGCACGCUGACACGUAGGUGAAGUGAUUUACUCAUGGAGCUGAAGUCAGUCGAAGAUACCAGCUGGCUGCAACUGUUUAUUAAAAACACAGCACUGUGCAAACACGAAAGUGGACGUAUACGGUGUGACGCCUGCCCGGUGCCGGAAGGUUAAUUGAUGGGGUCAGCGCAAGCGAAGCUCCUGAUCGAAGCCCCGGUAAACGGCGGCCGUAACUAUAACGGUCCUAAGGUAGCGAAAUUCCUUGUCGGGUAAGUUCCGACCUGCACGAAUGGCGUAAUGAUGGCCAGGCUGUCUCCACCCGAGACUCAGUGAAAUUGAACUCGCUGUGAAGAUGCAGUGUACCCGCGGCAAGACGGAAAGACCCCGUGAACCUUUACUAUAGCUUGACACUGAACAUUGAGCCUUGAUGUGUAGGAUAGGUGGGAGGCUUUGAAGUGUGGACGCCAGUCUGCAUGGAGCCGACCUUGAAAUACCACCCUUUAAUGUUUGAUGUUCUAACGUGGACCCGUUACCCGGGUUGCGGACAGUGUCUGGUGGGUAGUUUGACUGGGGCGGUCUCCUCCUAAAGAGUAACGGAGGAGCACGAAGGUUGGCUAAUCCUGGUCGGACAUCAGGAGGUUAGUGCAAUGGCAUAAGCCAGCUUGACUGCGAGCGUGACGGCGCGAGCAGGUGCGAAAGCAGGUCAUAGUGAUCCGGUGGUUCUGAAUGGAAGGGCCAUCGCUCAACGGAUAAAAGGUACUCCGGGGAUAACAGGCUGAUACCGCCCAAGAGUUCAUAUCGACGGCGGUGUUUGGCACCUCGAUGUCGGCUCAUCACAUCCUGGGGCUGAAGUAGGUCCCAAGGGUAUGGCUGUUCGCCAUUUAAAGUGGUACGCGAGCUGGGUUUAGAACGUCGUGAGACAGUUCGGUCCCUAUCUGCCGUGGGCGCUGGAGAACUGAGGGGGGCUGCUCCUAGUACGAGAGGACCGGAGUGGACGCAUCACUGGUGUUCGGGUUGUCAUGCCAAUGGCACUGCCCGGUAGCUAAAUGCGGAAGAGAUAAGUGCUGAAAGCAUCUAAGCACGAAACUUGCCCCGAGAUGAGUUCUCCCUGAGACUUAGAGUCUCCUGAAGGAACGUUGAAGACGACGACGUUGAUAGGCCGGGUGUGUAAG